rnacentral:rRNA from 1 species
GAACGUAUCACCCAAGACAACUUUACGGAGUUGACGAUUGACGGAGCGAAGCGACGUCAAAGCGUUCAUUAAAGUCGAGUUGGCUUAGGGAUACGUUCGUUGGGUAGGGGAGCGUUCUGUAAGCCUGCGAAGGUGACCUGUGAGGGUUGCUGGAGGUAUCAGAAGUGCGAAUGCUGACAUAAGUAACGAUAAAGCGGGUGAAAAGCCCGCUCGCCGGAAGACCAAGGGUUCCUGUCCAACGUUAAUCGGGGCAGGGUGAGUCG